rnacentral:rRNA from 1 species
GGGGUGAUUAGUGGCGAACGGGUGAGUAACACGUGAGUAACCUGCCCUUAACUCUGGGAUAAGCCUGGGAAACUGGGUCUAAUACCGGAUAUGACUCCUCAUCGCAUGGUGGGGGGUGGAAAGCUUUUUGUGGUUUUGGAUGGACUCGCGGCCUAUCAGCUUGUUGGUGAGGUAAUGGCUCACCAAGGCGACGACGGGUAGCCGGCCUGAGAGGGUGACCGGCCACACUGGGACUGAGACACGGCCCAGACUCCUACGGGAGGCAGCAGUGGGGAAUAUUGCACAAUGGGCGCAAGCCUGAUGCAGCGACGCCGCGUGAGGGAUGACGGCCUUCGGGUUGUAAACCUCUUUCAGUAGGGAAGAAGCGAAAGUGACGGUACCUGCAGAAGAAGCGCCGGCUAACUACGUGCCAGCAGCCGCGGUAAUACGUAGGGCGCAAGCGUUAUCCGGAAUUAUUGGGCGUAAAGAGCUCGUAGGCGGUUUGUCGCGUCUGCCGUGAAAGUCCGGGGCUCAACUCCGGAUCUGCGGUGGGUACGGGCAGACUAGAGUGAUGUAGGGGAGACUGGAAUUCCUGGUGUAGCGGUGAAAAUGCGCAGAAUUUCAGGAGGAACACCGAUUGCGAAAGGCAGGUCUCUGGGCAUUAACUGACGCUUAAGGAACCAAAAGCAUGGGGGAGCGAACAGGGAUUAGAAUACCCUGGGUAAUCCAUGCCCGUAAAACCUUUGGGGCACUAAGGUGUUGGGGGGAAAUUUCCCCCUUUUUUCCCG